AUUAAUUUCUUUUUAGCUCAAGUGUCAGACUUUUCAAUUUCUCUGUUAAAUUUCAUCUUCUUAGGUUUGGCCUAAACAAAUAGCCUGUUGAGGACCUUUUGGAUCCUGACUCUGUUACCCAGGGGGUUCCUCCUAACUUUGCUUCAUCUGAAGGGACCCCUUUAGAUGUCUGGUGAACUCUAUGGAUCUUGA
rnacentral:lncRNA from 1 species